GCGCGUGGUAUUCGGGCGGCAUGCGAAUGCCGGCGUGGCUGGCCGGCGUCUGUGUUGCGGCGGAUCGUGCGGCGCCGUCCGGCCCGGCGCGCUCGCGC
rnacentral:tRNA from 1 species